rnacentral:snoRNA from 1 species
CCAUGAUGAACAAUCUAGAUGACGAGUCUUAUUCAGCACGCUGAUGCAGACAAAACUCAAAAUUACCAUUCAUGCAUUUCCUGAGU